rnacentral:lncRNA from 10 species
CCCAUAUAAGGCCAAAUAUGGGUGUUUCCCCGCCCCUCGGGCCGUGGCCACGCCCUGCAGGGGGCGGGGCAGCGGGGGCGAGGGACGCGCGGGGCGGGUGCCGGCGUUAGAGCGAGAGGAAGUGGAAGGCGCCUCUUCGUUCUCUCUUCCGCGCUUCGCUGAGGGACUCACUCGCGCAUCACCCGCGGCUGCCGGUCGAGUGUCCCAGGCGCUCCGGGGCCGCGGUGACCCUCGCGGUGCGGACCGAGGAGGAAGCGCCGUGGGGGGCGGGGCGGCGCCGCACGAUCCGGCCUUCAGCUUCACGGACGUGGGCUGAGAACCCGCCCGCGCCGCGCUGAGCAGGGCCGAGGGAGCCGGCCAGGGCCCCAGAGGAGUCCGGAACGGAUUCCCGUCGCUACCGAGGUCUGCGCGUGUAAGGAGAGGACGUCGGAGAUUUGCCUCGAGGGGUGGGGUAUAGAUGACUGGAGAGGUCAGGCGCGGGUUGGUCAUCGCUGAGGCUGGGUGAUGGGUGGCCGGAUUCGUUAUACUGUUUUCUCCACUUUUCUGUAUGUUUGAUAUUUUUCAUAAUAAAGUUUGUAAAAGUAAAAACGGGGGUUGGGGGUCGGCGGUGAGAAUAGCCAUUUAAUCUUCCUAAAUGGAUUCUGCCCUCAAAGGAUUGACGCUCUUUUCUCUGUCACUCUCCAAUAAUGAUUAGAAUAAUAAGUUGUAUUUUGAGGAGCUGUUUUCUGGUCCCGGGGAGACCCUUGGUGAACUCAGCAGUACCAUCAGCAUGUAUCCCACGAUGGAGCUCAGUUCAGCCAACUGUUGUCCAGGUGGCUUCUGGAUUUGGGGGAUUAUCUAUGGAUCAAGUUUAAUCUCAGGCUGUCUGCCCCCACCGGUCCCCAGGGGCUUCAGGCCUCCCACCCCUAUUCCUGGGGAAGCAGACACAAUUCACCCAUUCAGCAAGCAUUUAUUGAGGGUCAGCCGUGUGCCAGGGCUUUGCUAGCUGCGGGGACACAUGGAUGGAAACAGGUUUCUGCCCCCAAGCUCACUGCCAACCAUUUUAUUGUUAGCCUGGCUGGGACUGCUUGAUGGAAAACAGUCUGCCCGCACUAGACAAGGGCUUGUUGACAACUGACAUAAGGGAAUGAGGUUUUCAGAAGGAAGCAGAGAUCAAAUUUUGAAAUCAGAUGCAAUCAAAUCAGACACCAGGACAGCCAGCAUUGCCUCUGGGUCACAGAUGCAUCCACCCAAAGGCGCUGUCCUCGCCUUGCCAGUGGGGUCUUGGUGAAGACGUGAUGCGGGGGCCUUCUUUCUUUUUGUGGUUAUCUGUGCCAGCCUUCCCUGCAGGCUGCUCUUCCUCUAGCACGUUCUGUUUCUGUUACCGGCUCUUUCCACCCCCGGCAUCUCCGCCUAGAGCCACACACAUACGCGGAGCACCCACGUGGGCCAGGCUUUGUUUUGGGGCUGGCGGCACCAACGUGAGUAAGACUUAUACUCAGCCCCAGCUGCCCCCAGCCCAGAGGGAAGGGGAAGGCCUGUAGUCCGUGGGGAAGAGCGCCCAGUAGGGGUGUGGCAGGGUGGGGCGUGGGCUGGAGAAGGCCUCCCGAGGAGAGGAGAGCUGAGGCCAACUCCGAGGAAUGAAUUGUAAGCCAGGCUGCGAAGCAGGAGGGGAGAUUCCAGGCAGAGGAAACUGCUUGGGGUAAAGAAAACAAAAAACGCAACCCCCCCAGCAUGGUGCGUACUGGAGAUGCAGAUGCUGUGGCUCAAAGGAUUAAUUAAUUUGCUUAAGAUAAUGCAACAUGAGAAAAGCAGAUCAGGACGGAAUUCCAGAACAAGGAUUUUGCUUGAAAUAACAUCACUACUAAUUGUCUCUCUGCACCUCCUGGCUCAUUUCUCUACUCCCACACCUUCCCUGCUGACCCUAGUCAAGGAGCUGUGAACAUACAAAUAGUGCCUGAUACACUAGGGCCUCGGCAUUGGCCAUGGGAGUGAGGGAGAAAAUCAUUUAAGAGGCUUUGUAGUCGAUUUCAACAAAGAAGGCAAUGCCAGUGAAGCAUCUUGCAGGAAUCCCUCCCUGACUGCUUCAGUCCACAGCGCUCUUACCUUUCUCUAUACACUUACAAUCUGUUUCAUUUACUUCCUAGCAGACCUUGCAGAAACCAUUAUUUCAUAUGAUACGUUUCCCCCAUAGAAUAUAAGCUCCUUAAGGGAAGAGAUUUUUGCUUGGUUUUAUAAUGCUGAAUUCCAAGUGCCUAGAAAGGGCCUGGCAGGUCGUAGGCACAAGAAGUAUUGGUUGGUUGAAUAUAUACUUCUUGCAACCCACAGAAACUGAUGUUGGUCUGGGCCAGGCCCUGCCCUGGCUUCCAGGGAUGCAGAAGUGAAUCGAAUAACUUCCUGCCCUCUGAACUUAUGGGGGAGACAUACAUACCUGCAUAUUCACAAGAGAUUUCAUCACAUGUAACCAAAGUAAAAAGGUGGCCACCAGAAGGGGGACUGGACCUGCUUGUUGGAAGGGUGCAAAUGGAAACUAGAGAGGUGAUUGUUCCAGACAUUCCCAGUGGGACAGGUGGCUGUGAGCCUGUGAUGAACUGAGAGACACCACUGAGUAAAAGUUAAGAGGACAGGCUCUGGAGCCCAACUGUCUGGGUUGAAUCUUUCUCUACCAAUUACUAGUUGUGUGAUGUCGUACCAGUGAUAUACUGUUGAGAUAAACGCAUAUUCCAAGACUCACUGCAGAGAUUCCAAACCAGCAAGUCUGGGCUGGCUAGGAAUCUGCUUCGUUGUUCCACAAACAUGUUAUUGUUUAUUGCAGAGGGUCUACAGACCAUGCCUUGAAAAGCUGUGGCCUUCAGGGAGGAAGGGUCAUGCUAACCAGCAAACUGGAAUGUCACACUGUGUGUCAUUGACAUUUUUCAGUGUGAAAUCACAAACUAUCAUUCAGGGUUAGACUUUAUACUACCCAGUAAGUGUCAUGGAGGAGGCUUCAGGACAGCUGGGGAAUUCAACAGGCCUGGUCUCUACCAGGUUAUCCCGGGACACUCCCCAGCAGCAGAUUUCAAGGCAUUCUGCCUUCACUUUAGGCCUAGGGUGAACCUGCAGGAGGCUCUCUGCAAAUAUUCAUUGAUCAACCGAUAGCUUUUCUAGCCAAGCACCAGCUGGCUAGCCUCAGUCCCAUGCAGAGGUUCUGGGAGGACUGCAGGAACCCCAGAGAGGGCUAGGGUGCAAUGAGGGUGCAAGAGGUGGUACCCAGCUCUGAUGUCUCCAUGUCUUGACUUGAGCUAGGACCUCAUACCCAGGACCCCAGAGAAGCCAGAUGGAAAUAAGGCCAUAGGAGAUGUGAGGGCUCAGAGCCUGCAAUCUCUGGACAAACUCCAUCUCUUUGAGCCUCAGAUGAAAUGCAAGGCCUGAGUGUUACAGGUCAUUCUCCGUUUGUUCAUUCCGUAAAUAUUUCAGCCUCUGUCAUGUGCCAGGCUGCGCUAGGGAGACCAUGGUGAGACAGGUCUCUGUACUCAGUGAGCUUAUACUCCAGAGAGGGAUCAGACAAUAAGGUAAUAUACAUUAAUUAAUAUCAGAAGGUAAUGAGAGGAAGACCGUAGUCCAGGAGCAGCUAUGGCUCAUGGCUGUAAUCCCAACACUUUGGGAGGCUGAAGCAGGUAGAUCGCUGAGUCCAGGAGUUUGAGACCAGCCUGGGCAAUAUGGUGAAACCCUAUCUCACACACACAUAAAAUUAGCCAGCAUGGUGGCACACUCCUUUAGUCCCAGCUACUCAGGAGGCUGAGGUGGGAGGACUGAUUGAGCCCGGGAGGUCAAGGCUACAGUGAGCCAUGAUCACAUCCCUGCAUUCCAGCUUGGGUGACAGAGUGAGACCCUAUCUCAAGAAAAAAAAAAAAGAGAGAGAUAGAGGAAGACCAUAAAAGGGUAACGGAGCUGGUCAUGGUGGCUCAUGUUUACAGUCCCAGCUACUUAUCCAACCCACGGCCCAUGGGCUGCAUGAAGCCCAGGACAGCUUUGAACAUGGCCCAACACAAAUUCAUAAACUUUCUUAAAAAUUAUGAGAUUUUUGCCAGGCACAGUGGCUCACGCCUGUAAUCCCAGCACUUUGGGAGGCUGAGGCAGGUGGAUCACCUGAGGUCAGGAGUUCGAGACCAGCCUGACCAGCAUGGUGAAAUCCCAUCUCUACUAAAAAUACAAAAUUAGCG